GUGUCACCAGAGAGGAAAAGAAUAUCCUUGCUGUGCCAAGAAAGAAAAGACCAUGGAUCUACUAGUUGCAGAUUUCAGCAGUAAUGCCAAGGGGGCAAGAAGUGACCAGCAGAACAAUUAGGCCAUGGCAACAGAAGCCAACUACAACCCAUGUUCCAAUCUAUGACCUCCCUCUCCUGCUGGUACAAGGAUAUGUAUUCCUUAGAGCAAAGGAUGCAAUGUCAAGCAAGUUGUGAUACCUCAACUAUCUACAAUUUAACACCAAGGAAAGAACACUGUUUGGAGAAAUGAGAAAGAUUAUCAUCAGUGUCUUUCAGAAGUCAUCAAAAGAAGAAAAGGAGAAAAGAGAGGAGAAAGCAGAAAGAUCUGGAGUCUGGGAAGUUCAAGAGCAUGGCACCAACAUCUGGCAAGGGCUUUCAUUCUGCAUCAUCUCAUGGAGGAAAAUAAAAAGGAGGCUGGAUGCUCCUGUGAAGUACGUCUUUUAUCUACUUGCUAUCUUUGCAAUUCCUUCAUGCUACAAUGAGAGAUAGAGUUUAAACCUGAAAACAUUCUUGGAAAAGGAAUCUUCAUUAAUUCAAAUAUACCACAAGGUUCUGCCACUGUGGCCAUCACCUGGGAUUGGAGAAAGGCAAAUGGAACAGACCAACUCAGAAUUACAGUCCUCAUUUAUUUCAUCAGAGGUUGGCCUGUACUUACAUUAGCCCUUUCUGGCUAGAGCUUCAUGUCUCACCCACUGUCUGUUCACUUCUGACCUGAAACAAUGGGACUGCAGAAGAGAGAAGGAAAAUAUCUGGUGGUCAGGCUAACUCUGUGUACCCCAUGAUGAAGAUGUUUUCCAUAGGAGUUCAUUGUCACAGAUUCACCACCAUCACUACUCUAAGUAUUUUUCUUCUUGAGAAAGAGAAGGAGAGGGAAAGCAAGGAAGAGGAAGAGAAAGAGAAAUGGAUAAAAACAUGGUCAAGUAGAAGAGUCUGUGUGUCUUCCAGAGUCCUCACGAGUAUCAGAGAAGGCAUAAUCUGUACACGUGGCUUCAUUUAAAAUGAAAAUAUCAAGCAGUGUCAUUUUCACAAGUAUCCCCACACUGUCUGAGGCUGAAAAGAAGAGUGUAGCUAUGCACACUGCAGUGAGAAGAAAAUUUCAGCUCAAUUGGAGGAUGUAAAGAUUGAAAUACCACUGCUCCUAGUUCUGAUGCAAAAUUGAAAAGAGUGCACUGGGUCUUCAAAUGGCAUAUUGACAAGGAGAAAGAGGAAAGGAUGCCCCAGGACAGCCUGGGGGUCAAGGCUGGGCUCAGGCAUGCCUGGACAAGCCAUGCAAGUUGUCUCCGGACUUGAACCACGUAUCAGAGGAGCUAUUUGAGGAGCCACAUCAGCAUACCUGCUUCUGUGGGCCCCCAGGCUGUGGUGCUCAGCCCUUGCACUAUGAAACAUUUUUUUUUUCCAGAAGCCAAAGCUUUGAGCAUCUCCUCCCAUGUAGAGAGUGUAUAUGUUUACGUCCAUGUCUUUCGCCAUGUGAACGCAUGCAACCACCACCUCAAAUAUCAUAAAUCCUCUCUCUCCCCCUUUCUGUCUGCCUGUUUAUCUACAAUCUGUCUAUUUAAAUUCUUUUUAAACAAGAAGGGAAUAUCUUUAUGCCUGUUUGUAGGGAUAUUCUACAUCCAUCUGUUAUUUACAUCAUUCGUUUUCCUGAGGUGUCUCCAACAAAUCCUGGCUGGAUGCACUGUAUGUGUUAUUAAUAAAACAGCUGUAAAAA
ensembl:lncRNA LINC01539 long intergenic non-protein coding RNA 1539